UACACAUGCAGUCGAGCGGUAGCACAGAGAGCUUGCUCUCGGGUGACGAGCGGCGGACGGGUGAGUAAUGUCUGGGAAACUGCCUGAUGGAGGGGGAUAACUACUGGAAACGGUAGCUAAUACCGCAUAACGUCGCAAGACCAAAGUGGGGGACCUUCGGGCCUCAUGCCAUCAGAUGUGCCCAGAUGGGAUUAGCUGGUAGGUGGGGUAACGGCUCACCUAGGCGACGAUCCCUAGCUGGUCUGAGAGGAUGACCAGCCACACUGGAACUGAGACACGGUCCAGACUCCUACGGGAGGCAGCAGUGGGGAAUAUUGCACAAUGGGCGCAAGCCUGAUGCAGCCAUGCCGCGUGUGUGAAGAAGGCCUUCGGGUUGUAAAGCACUUUCAGCGGGGAGGAAGGCGGUGAGGUUAAUAACCUCAUCGAUUGACGUUACCCGCAGAAGAAGCACCGGCUAACUCCGUGCCAGCAGCCGCGGUAAUACGGAGGGUGCAAGCGUUAAUCGGAAUUACUGGGCGUAAAGCGCACGCAGGCGGUCUGUCAAGUCGGAUGUGAAAUCCCCGGGCUCAACCUGGGAACUGCAUUCGAAACUGGCAGGCUAGAGUCUUGUAGAGGGGGGUAGAAUUCCAGGUGUAGCGGUGAAAUGCGUAGAGAUCUGGAGGAAUACCGGUGGCGAAGGCGGCCCCCUGGACAAAGACUGACGCUCAGGUGCGAAAGCGUGGGGAGCAAACAGGAUUAGAUACCCUGGUAGUCCACGCUGUAAACGAUGUCGAUUUGGAGGUUGUGCCCUUGAGGCGUGGCUUCCGGAGCUAACGCGUUAAAUCGACCGCCUGGGGAGUACGGCCGCAAGGUUAAAACUCAAAUGAAUUGACGGGGGCCCGCACAAGCGGUGGAGCAUGUGGUUUAAUUCGAUGCAACGCGAAGAACCUUACCUGGUCUUGACAUCCACAGAACUUUCCAGAGAUGGAUUGGUGCCUUCGGGAACUGUGAGACAGGUGCUGCAUGGCUGUCGUCAGCUCGUGUUGUGAAAUGUUGGGUUAAGUCCCGCAACGAGCGCAACCCUUAUCCUUUGUUGCCAGCGGUCAGGCCGGGAACUCAAAGGAGACUGCCAGUGAUAAACUGGAGGAAGGUGGGGAUGACGUCAAGUCAUCAUGGCCCUUACGACCAGGGCUACACACGUGCUACAAUGGCAUAUACAAAGAGAAGCGACCUCGCGAGAGCAAGCGGACCUCAUAAAGUAUGUCGUAGUCCGGAUUGGAGUCUGCAACUCGACUCCAUGAAGUCGGAAUCGCUAGUAAUCGUAGAUCAGAAUGCUACGGUGAAUACGUUCCCGGGCCUUGUACACACCGCCCGUCACACCAUGGGAGUGGGUUGCAAAAGAAGUAGGUAGCUUAACCUUCGGGAGGGCGCUACCACUU
rnacentral:rRNA from 1 species